AGCACCUCCAUGGUAAGGAGGGGGUCGACGGUUCGAGUCCGUCAGAGGGCU
rnacentral:tRNA from 1 species